CCCUGUGAUGAAAGUGACCUUGAGUCAAACCAUGAUGAGUCUGAUAUUGAUAUUGAUAUAGAAGCUGUCAAAAAAACAUCAGAUACUGCGUUUAUUGAAAAGUCUGAACUUCAUGUGGCAGAAGCUGAUAAACAAAACAAAUUUAAGGUUGACUUUUUAAAAAUGUUUAAGCACAAAUUUAAUUAAUAAUUAUUAUAAAAAAAGUGUUAUGUAGAUAAAUAACCAAUAAUUUGAUAUUCUACAGGUUGGGAAGUUACGGUCUUGGCGAACAGCAUUCUCACUUUCAGUGUGACAACUGUUGCGGCCUAAAUAAAAACAACAUAGUCAUCUGGUACCUUCUGUGGAGAGUUCUUGUAGGUUUACACUGAAUCAUCACACUAAGCUUUAUGUUGAUAAGACAUACAAAGUUUACACCAGAUUGGCACUUUGGCAUCUGGAAGUCAAAGUGGAGAAACUUCAAUGCAGAAAUGUUGUCUGAUGUCGCUGCGUCUGUGGGGUUAUCGUCAAGGACGGGCCACAACAUCCCCCAGCUUGUGGGGGACUCUUCCAAUCCUGUUGUUAUCUAAGACAGGAAGGAUUACCUUACGACAUUGUUUCACCACAUAAAGAAUGUCACAAAAUUUCAUCAAUUUCCAUGUGUCAGCGGAGCAUCCCGGUGUUGUGGAAUGCAGGGAAUUCAGUGACUCACCAGUAGUCAGAAUCACUCUCAGGAAGGUCUCGAAAGUGAAUGUUAAUGUGAGCUGUGACAACCUGCUAUAAGAAAUGUUUGCGAAAGGGCUUGAUCUGGACCAUCAGUGGUAUUUAUUUGAAAACAUUCGUGAAUUCUGUCGCAUAGAUGAACCAAAAACUUGACAUGUCCAAAACGCGCUACUGGUGAGCAACAAAAAACAGACUGUGCCCCCCAAAAAAGAAGAUGCAUUAAGAUGCGCAUCUGAUCUUCUCUGAUGUUGCCACAACAAUUACAUACAUCAUGUAUCAGUGUUUAUUUUGGCCAAGGUAUUUGGUGAUAUAUUUUCCCACAAACAAUGCAAAAGUCCUCUAUUCCUAGGAAAGCUAAAACAUUUAUACGAUUGCUAAAUGUGUCAGUUGAUACAGGUUUUGAAAUGUUCAAUGCAAACUUUUGUUGUUUUAAUUGCACAAGCUUGUUUUCAAGUUUUUUAUAUCUCAUAUUUACAAAACAAAAAUCAUUUUUUCCAUGUAGAUCUAACCAUGCAAUUGUUUUCACCUUAUGGACACAGACUGCCUAUCAGAAAAACUGGAAAAAAAUCAGUGUGAAUAUUGUAUUUAUUUAUGUUUUACAAUGAAAAUCCUAUAUUUUUGUUUGUUUGCUACAUUGUUUCCAUAGUAACAAAAACAAACAAUUUUUAUGUUUAAGUUAUUGUUUAUUUUGUCUAUUUUUGUCUAUCAGAAAUAAUGAUAAAUAAUGAUUAUUUCAUUUACUGAAACAUUUAGUAUCCAAGUGUACUUUCAACCAACACUUUUCAAUGCUGUGUUUUUCCAUUUUUUAGUGUUUGAGGUUACAUUAUACUUAAAUACACAUGAAAAUGAAUAAAAAAAGGAAAUUGUUCAUGGAACACACACAUUAUUGAUUGUUAUCGUUUAACUAGUUACAAAACAGUGAAAUUAAUGUUGUGUUUGCCUUUAAACAAACACUUGAUUGAAAAUACAAUUCAUAGAUUUAUAAAAGGC